rnacentral:rRNA from 1 species
AUGGAAGUCAAGAUGCGGGCUUUGUUGCCACAGUCCGACUAUGAUGAAGCACUGGAUAGUUUUGGGAAGAAUAGAAUUCAAGACUGGACUGUUGAGGAGAAAAGAAUUGAUUGUAAGGCUUUGUCACAAAUUCAACUCCAUUUGCAUAAUAAUAUUUUGCAGGAAGUUUUCAGCGAGAAAACUGCCGCCGCUCUAUGGUUAAAGUUGGAAGGGAUUUGCAUGACUAAAGAUCUCACCAUCAAGAUGCAUCUGAAGCAAAAAUUAUUCCUGCGCAGGUUACCCGAGGGAGAUAGUGUUUUGAAUCAUAUUUCAGAAUUUAAAGAGAUCAUGUCCGAUCUAGCUGCAAUGGAGGUUAAGUAUGAAGAGGAAGAUACUGCUUCAAUGUUACUUUGUUCUCUGCCAAGUUCUUAUACCAAUUUUAGAGACACCAUAUUAUACAGUUGUGAUACUCUCACACUUGAUGAAGUUUAUGAAGCUUUGAGAUCUAAUGAGAAGAUGAAAUUACUGGUGCCUCAUGAUGGUUCGAGUUCAUCCCAAGCCGAGGGAUUGUCUGUUCGUGGCAGGACAAAGGAGAAGAACUCACAUAAU